rnacentral:rRNA from 1 species
UCUGACCUGCCCAUUGGAAAACUGAAAGGCCGCGGUAUUAUGCCCGUGCAAAGGUAGCAUAAUCAUUAGUUUUUUAAUUGAAGGCUAGAAUGAAUGGUUGGACAAGAAAUAAUCUGUCUUAAAUUAAUAUAUUGAAUUUAACUUUUAAGUGAAAAGGCUUAAAUGAUCUAAGGGGACGAUAAGACCCUAUAAAACUUUAUAUUUUAAGGUGGAAAAUAAUUUUAUUUUAAAAUUACUAUUUUAAAUUAUUUUGUUGGGGCGACAAGGAUAUAAGAAAGGAUAACUGUCUUUUAUUUUUACAAUAAUAUUUGAAUUAUUGAUCCUAAAAGGGAUUAAAGAUUAAGUUACUUUAGGGAUAACAGCGUAAUUUUCUUUGAGAGUUCUUAUCGACAAGAAAGUUUGCGACCUCGAUGUUGAAUUAAAGGUUCUUUAUAGAGUAGAGACUAUAAGAGAAGGUCUGUUCGACCUUUAAAAUUUUACAUGAUUUGA